rnacentral:misc_RNA from 1 species
GAUGAAGAACGCAGCGAAAUGCGAUAACUAAUGUGAAUUGCAGAAUUCAGUGAAUCAUCGAGUCUUUGAACGCACAUUGCGCCCCCUGGUAUUCCGGGGGGCAUGCCUGUCCGAGCGUCAUUGCUGCCCUCAAGCACGGCUUGUGUGUUGGGCUCCGUCCCCCCGGGGACGGGCCCGAAAGGCAGCGGCGGCACCGAGUCCGGUCCUCGAGCGUAAGGGGCUUUGUCACCCGCUCUGUAGGCCCGGCCGGCGCCAGCCGACAACCCAUCAUCCUUUUCAGGUUGACCUCGGAUCAGGUAGGGAUACCCGCUGAACUUAAGCAUAUCAAUAAGCGGAGGA